rnacentral:misc_RNA from 1 species
AAGUCGUAACAAGGUUUCCGUAGGUGAACCUGCGGAAGGAUCAUUAACACUUUUAUUCCCAUUUUUUCCUGUUCCUUUUUUCACAAAAAAAAGGAGGGAGAAAGGGAACCAAUUACUCUAUCCAAAUUUUGAAGAGCGAGUGGGAAAGUGAGGUUGUCGGGAUCAACGCCCGGCAACUGAAUAUUCCCCAACCCCUUUUUCUCUUUUUUAUCUUUUUCAUUUAACUCCAAACAAACCACUUUUGAUAACAUUUUCGACAUGAUCUAAACAAACAAAAAAUAAGCCAAAAACAACUCUUAGCAACGGAUAUCUUGGCUCUC